AUUGAACGCUGGCGGCAGGCUUAACACAUGCAAGUCGAGCGGAGAUGAGGUGCUUGCACCUUAUCUUAGCGGCGGACGGGUGAGUAAUGCUUAGGAAUCUGCCUAUUAGUGGGGGACAACAUUCCGAAAGGAAUGCUAAUACCGCAUACGUCCUACGGGAGAAAGCAGGGGAUCUUCGGACCUUGCGCUAAUAGAUGAGCCUAAGUCGGAUUAGCUAGUUGGUGGGGUAAAGGCCUACCAAGGCGACGAUCUGUAGCGGGUCUGAGAGGAUGAUCCGCCACACUGGGACUGAGACACGGCCCAGACUCCUACGGGAGGUAGCAGUGGGGAAUAUUGGACAAUGGGGGGAACCCGGAUCCAGCCAUGCCGCGUGUGUGAAGAAGGCCUUAUGGUUGUAAAGCACUUUAAGCGAGGAGGAGGCUACUGAGACUAAUACUCUUGGAUAGUGGACGUUACUCGCAGAAUAAGCACCGGCUAACUCUGUGCCAGCAGCCGCCGUAA
rnacentral:rRNA from 1 species